AUCUUGACUGUGCAAAGGUAGCAUAAUCAUUAGUCUCUUAAUUGGGGACUGGAAUGAAUGGUUUAACGAGGUAUUAACUGUCUCAUUUUAAUAGAAUUGAAUUUAACUUUUGAGUUAAAAGGCUUAAAUAGAAUUAGAGGACGAGAAGACCCUAUAGAGCUUUAUAAGUUAAGUAUUAUAUUGGAUUUAGAAGUUAUUUGAAAUUUAAGUAUUAAGCUUAUUUUAUUGGGGUGAUAUAAAGAUUAAUUAAACUCUUUAUAAUAAUUGAACAUUGAUAAAUGAAUAAUUGAUCCAUUUUUAGUGAUUAUAAGAUUAAGUUACCUUAGGGAUAACAGCGUAAUGUUUUUUGAGAGUUCUUAUCAACAAGAAAGAUUGCGACCUCGAUGUUGGAUUAAGGAAAAGGUUGGG
rnacentral:rRNA from 1 species